GUACUUACCCCGCAGGGGAUAUACCAUGAUCAUGAAGGUGCUUCUCCCAUGGUGAAGCUCAUCCAUUAGACUUUGGAUAUGCUGAACUCUGCAAUUUCCAUAAAUGUGGGAAACUCGACUGCAUAAUUUGUGUUAGUAGAGUACUACAUUAGUGCUUUUCCCUU